rnacentral:misc_RNA from 1 species
UAUAACCACGUGAUCAGUAGUGCACCACAUUCACUUGCAAGUAACAUAGUAAGGCUUAAAUUGUGAAUUUGACAGUAUCGAGGGAAGAAGUCGUUCUGUGGUAGUGUUAGUGCGAUGGGUACUAUUACAAAGUAUUUUUAAGUGGAAACAUUUUUUCCAUUUAUUUUAUAUUAUGCUUAAUAGAUAUUGCUAUUAUAUUCGAAUGCGUAAGAAUAUUUUCCCAAGUACACUAAUUUAAAUUUUAUUGUUAGUGAUACUGAUAAUGUCAAAUCAAACACCACAAAGACUUCGUAGGACUGGUUCUCCAUGUGUAUCUCUUAGUCUAAAGCAUGGACCUCUGACAGCAACUGUGCCUGUAUCAUUUAUGCGACAUAGUAUUAUUAUUAGUACUACUACUGAUAGUCCAAUAAAGUCGUCAAACAUAAAUGCUACAUAUACUAGUCCCUCACAUUCACCAACUUCCAAUAAAACCACUGAUGGAUUAAAAUUUCAGGCUGGACAUUCGUCUGGUUGUAGGUUUGGUUUUUCGGUAGAUCGACGCAGUCCUGGAUCGCCAGGUUACAAAGUUCAAAGACGCAAUUUUGCUCUCGAGGCUGACUGCACCCAACUGGACGUGAGAGCAGAGAAGUCCAAGACGCUGAAUAUCAAAUCCAUCAGUGCUGCCCCCUACAUUCGACGGACUGCCUCAUUGGAUACCAUCUACCUGGCUGGACAGUGGCCGCGUGACUGUUACUACCACAGCUACUAUGUCCGGCAUAUGAUGGAUAGAGCCACACAGACAGAUGACUGGGAAGAAUUUGAUAGGAAGAAAGGAUCACAGAGAAAGUCUUCUGGAAAUGGUGGUGAUCAAUUAGAAAUGAAGUAUAUUCGUCAGAGGCUUCAACGGACCAAUAAGAGCAAUCAUGGCCCAGGAGGCUACAGCUCAUAUCAGAGGCUCAGUCCUUUCCAAGGGGACCAUUCUGCCAUAUCACAGUCUACCCCUACUGGCAGCAAUAAUGGUUCCAUACCGUCCACAGCAACAACAACCACUAGCACUUCAUUUUAUCAACAUUUAUAUAAUGUACCCACACAUAGUGGGUUAACAGGAACAGUUAGCAGGUCUCGCACUGGUCCCAUUCCAAUCCCUCACAUUCCAAAGGCCUCCAUCCCCCGUAUCCGCAGCAGUGUGGAAGGUUUAAAUCAGGAGAUAGAAAGACUAGUUCUCAAAGGAAUCUCAGGGAAUGAUGUUGGGGAUGUAGAGCUUGAGAGGGAUGUAGAACCUCCUCCAGAUGGACACCGAGCCCCCAUUGCUGACCUCUUUAGGUCCACCACAGCCAUAUCCACACGAAAUGUGAACACACAAACUCCCUCUGGUAGAGGAGAGAGUUGCCCUAGUAGUGGUGCAACUAGCCGCAGUCAGUCAGUUUCACCGAUUGUUUCAUUUCUAGGCCAAAUGGACAGCUCUCAGCCUGCCAGUAGAGAAGGAAGUAAAAGUGCCUCACCUGAUCUAGACUGUAGCUUUAAAUUUGGCACAAGCCCUCGUAUUAAUAGGUUUUUGGCCAGAGAGCCUCCAGAUGGGUGUGAAAAAGUGAAAAUUUUAGAAGAACGAAGGAAUACCUCAACUCUCAUGGAACCCCAAGGGUAUGGACCCUUUAAGCCUAGUGAGAAAUUUGUGCUGCUACCGAGCCAAAGUUCUGCAUUUUACCCAUUGUACAAGAGUUAUGUUUCUCCAUCGACUUCAGAUAGUGCUCUACAGCAGCUGACCUCUUCUCCUCACUCCCUAGCUGAAGAGAAGCUGCAGUGACCUAGCUGAAGGGGUGUUCCCUUUAAUCACCCCUCUCACCUUAAUGCUGUUUAAUUUUUUUCCUUCUGGUGAAGACUUGUAAUCACGUUUUUGGUAGGCUUGUGUGAAGCCUUAAUAUAAACAACACAUACCACGUGAUUGAUGUGUAGUCACUCUUGGGUGUCAUUCUCUUCACCCAGCCACCACCAGUUCUUCCUUUGUAGUCUUCUGCAACUACAAACAAAGGUCGUGAUAUGUGACAAGUCCUUUUACAUUUCUAUAAGGCUUAUCACUGUGCACCUGUUUUUACAGUGACCACAUCCUAUUCAACUUGUGACUGUGAUGUUUGCACAACCAAAUAAUAUUUACUGGUAUCUCCAAAGAGAGAGAGAAUAUAGCAGAAUUCUUAACCAGUUUCAUCUUUUCAAAUAAUUACAUAGGUAAGAAGUGUAUUUAGUUUGAUCAAAAAUGUUUUUGUUUGAAUUAGUUAAGUGAUAGUCAUUAUUAUUUCAUGUAUUUUGGAAACAUUCAAAUCAUGAAAGUUUUCUUUUGUAUAACCUGUAUUUUUGUUUUUCAUUUAACAAUUCUUUUUAGAGUAGAUACAGAUGGAAUCUGUGGAAAUCUUUGAAAUUUUCUGCAUGAAUGGUUUGUAUUUUCUGCAGAAAUCUGUGGAAAAGUCAGUUCAUUUAAAAACAACAACAAAGCAGUUUAGGCUAUUAGCCUGUUACUUUGCCCUACCUACGUUAUGUGGACCAUGCAGUACAAGUUGAGACACGGUCUCUAACGAGAUUCAUUUUUCAUUCUUAAUUCAUAAAAAUAUAUGAUUUAUAACACUCCAAAACUACUUAAACUUUAUCAUCAUAAAAAAUUCUAGAUUGGCUUUGAUUAAGUUUGUGCAUUUGUCCUUCAAUAUAUCUUUGUAAAUGGAAAAGAAUCUCUCAACAUCAAUACUGGAUAUAAAACAUUUCCUAGGUCACUGGAGUCUGAUAUAGUAUAUAUGGUUCUUGUGCAUUUCAGUUGGGCUGGUAAAGCUAUAAUGUCAGAUUAUAUAUAUUUGUACCACUCCAUUGCCUGCACUAUUUUUUGUUAGCAGAUAAUGUUGCCAAAAUUUUUGGAUUGAAAGUUUGAACUGCUUUGAAGAACUUCAUGGAAAGAUGCUUUUACAUGAGUACAGAUCACUUUUCUCUUAUCACUGUUGAUACAUUUAUAUUUUGAAGCUUAUUUUAGUUGAAAGUGAUUCAGAAACACAACAUGAAGUUAUCCUCCUGAGAAGUGAACGUGAACAUAAAGUUCAUUUCCAUUAUCACAUCUUGUUAAUUGUAGAUUUAUUUAUAAUGUUAUGUGGUAGUGUACAUUUCAAUGAUGUAAGAAGUCUGAUGAGUUUCUUGAAGAUAAGUGUUUCUGAACAAAGAUUCCAUGAGCUUUACUUAUAACAAACUUCUUGUCAAACUGAUUUGCUGAUUAUGGCUAUUUCAUUAACUGAAAUACCAGUAAGUUUAUGUUUCUAACCAAAUAAAUAAUGGAGUUAAUCCAAGACAACAAAUAUGUUUGCACUGAGUGUACAGGCAGAUGUGGAGUGACAUCUUUUGUCUCCAGUUAGGACAGGAACAACCUUCUUUGGACAGAAUACCUCCUACCAGAAAGCAUGGCCAUGUAAGAAUCAGGUUUAACAUAUGGGCCAUGCAAGUAACAUGCAUAGCCUUUGGAAACAAACCUUACUAAACACUCAAUAAGGCUUUUGUCAUGUAACUUGCUGUGUCGUAUAUUACAACAUAUACAUUGUGAAAGGAAAGGUUAAUUUCAACUAGUUUCUUUUUUGUUUGUAUCAGAAUUUCUUAAUUUUUGUAAAAGUUACGAGUCUACAAAAAUGUUGAAAGUUAGGCUUGCCAGCUUGAAAUCAUUUUAUAAGUUAAAACAAACACAUUUGAAAAAUUGUAUGCAUUAAUUAUAAAAUUGAGUUUUCUUUCUACUAACUUGCAUAAUACUUACCAACCUAACUUGGGAAAAAACUAUCAUAAACUUGAGUGCUCUUACAUGGGAAUGAUGGGAACUUUUGUGCAGAAAGUUACCAGGCAUAGACCUGGGUGAUGAGUAAAAUUUGCUAAUAAAUUAAAUAUUCAGGCUUAGUACUUGAUUACAUUCAACUAAUUGA